AAUAUUGGGACAUAUAAAAAAAGACAACUCUGUUCCGCAGAGUAGCUGUUGACAUUAUAGUUGCGCAGGCACUUUGUUGACUCUAGAGAACCUCGGGCCAAUCGCACAUCCCCGUGGCGGCGACUUUGCAUGCGGAUGUCAUCCAUAUCAACUUUCGAUGCCAGUUUCUGCGCCUACCAUGGUGACCACGGGUAACGGGGAAUCAGGGUUCCAUUCCAUACAGGGACCCUGAGAAAUGGCUACCACAUGCAAGGAAGGCAGCAGGCGCGCAAAUGACCCACUCCCGACGCGGGAAGGUAGUGA